CCUACGGGAGGCAGCAGUGGGGAAUAUUGCACAAUGGGGGAAACCCUGAUGCAGCGACGCCGCGUGAGUGAAGACGUAAUUCUUUAUGUAAAGCUCUAUCAGCAGGGAAGAAAAUGACGGUACCUGAGUAAGAAGCCCCGGCUAACUACGUUCCAGCAGCCGCGGUAAUACGGAGGGGGCAAGCGUUAUCCGGAUUUACUGGGUGUAAAGGGAGCGUAGACGGCAGUGCAAGUCUGGAGUGAAAGGCGGGGGCUCAACCCCCGGACUGCUCUGGAAACUGUACGGCUGGAGUGCAGGAGAGGUAAGUGGAAUUCCUAGUGUAGCGGUGAAAUGCGUAGAUAUUAGGAGGAACACCAGUGGCGAAGGCGGCUUACUGGACUGUAACUGACGUUGAGGCUCGAAAGCGUGGGGAGCAAACAGGAUUAGAUACCCCAGUAGUC
rnacentral:rRNA from 1 species